GCUUACGGCCAUACCACCCUGAGAACGCCCGAUCUCGUCCGAUCUCGGAAGCUAAGCAGGGUCGGGCCCGGUUAGUACUUGGAUGGGAGACCGCCUGGGAAUACCAGGUGCUGUAAGCU
ensembl:rRNA 5S_rRNA 5S ribosomal RNA